GGGACACGUGGUAUCCUGUCUGAAUAUGGGGGGACCAUCCUCCAAGGCUAAAUACUCCUGACUGACCGAUAGUGAACCAGUACCGUGAGGGAAAGGCGAAAAGAACCCCGGCGAGGGGAGUGAAAAAGAACCUGAAACCGUGUACGUACAAGCAGUGGGAGCCUCUUAAUGGGGUGACUGCGUACCUUUUGUAUAAUGGGUCAGCGACUUAUAUUCUGUAGCAAGGUUAACCGAAUAGGGGAGCCGAAGGGAAACCGAGUCUUAACUGGGCGUUAAGUUGCAGGGUAUAGACCCGAAACCCGGUGAUCUAGCCAUGGGCAGGUUGAAGGUUGGGUAACACUAACUGGAGGACCGAACCGACUAAUGUUGAAAAAUUAGCGGAUGACUUGUGGCUGGGGGUGAAAGGCCAAUCAAACCGGGAGAUAGCUGGUUCUCCCCGAAAGCUAUUUAGGUAGCGCCUCGUGAAUUCAUCUCCGGGGGUAGAGCACUGUUUCGGCAAGGGGGUCAUCCCGACUUACCAACCCGAUGCAAACUGCGAAUACCGGAGAAUGUUAUCACGGGAGACACACGGCGGGUGCUAACGUCCGUCGUGAAGAGGGAAACAACCCAGACCGCCAGCUAAGGUCCCAAAGUCAUGGUUAAGUGGGAAACGAUGUGGGAAGGCCCAGACAGCCAGGAUGUUGGCUUAGAAGCAGCCAUCAUUUAAAGAAAGCGUAAUAGCUCACUGGUCGAGUCGGCCUGCGCGGAAGAUGUAACGGGGCUAAACCAUGCACCGAAGCUGCGGCAGCGACACUGUGUGUUGUUGGGUAGGGGAGCGUUCUGUAAGCCUGCGAAGGUGUGCUGUGAGGCAUGCUGGAGGUAUCAGAAGUGCGAAUGCUGACAUAAGUAACGAUAAAGCGGGUGAAAAGCCCGCUCGCCGGAAGACCAAGGGUUCCUGUCCAACGUUAAUCGGGGCAGGGUGAGUCGACCCCUAAGGCGAGGCCGAAAGGCGUAGUCGAUGGGAAACAGGUUAAUAUUCCUGUACUUGGUGUUACUGCGAAGGGGGGACGGAGAAGGCUAUGUUGGCCGGGCGACGGUUGUCCCGGUUUAAGCGUGUAGGCUGGUUUUCCAGGCAAAUCCGGAAAACCAAGGCUGAGGCGUGAUGACGAGGCACUACGGUGCUGAAGCGACAAAUGCCCUGCUUCCAGGAAAAGCCUCUAAGCAUCAGGUAACAUCAAAUCGUACCCCAAACCGACACAGGUGGUCAGGUAGAGAAUACCAAGGCGCUUGAGAGAACUCGGGUGAAGGAACUAGGCAAAAUGGUGCCGUAACUUCGGGAGAAGGCACGCUGAUAUGUAGGUGAAGCGACUUGCUCGUGGAGCUGAAAUCAGUCGAAGAUACCAGCUGGCUGCAACUGUUUAUUAAAAACACAGCACUGUGCAAACACGAAAGUGGACGUAUACGGUGUGACGCCUGCCCGGUGCCGGAAGGUUAAUUGAUGGGGUUAGCGGCAACGCGAAGCUCUUGAUCGAAGCCCCGGUAAACGGCGGCCGUAACUAUAACGGUCCUAAGGUAGCGAAAUUCCUUGUCGGGUAAGUUCCGACCUGCACGAAUGGCGUAAUGAUGGCCAGGCUGUCUCCACCCGAGACUCAGUGAAAUUGAACUCGCUGUGAAGAUGCAGUGUACCCGCGGCAAGACGGAAAGACCCCGUGAACCUUUACUAUAGCUUGACACUGAACAUUGAGCCUUGAUGUGUAGGAUAGGUGGGAGGCUUUGAAGUGUGGACGCCAGUCUGCAUGGAGCCGACCUUGAAAUACCACCCUUUAAUGUUUGAUGUUCUAACGUUGGCCCCUAAUCGGGGUUGCGGACAGUGUCUGGUGGGUAGUUUGACUGGGGCGGUCUCCUCCUAAAGAGUAACGGAGGAGCACGAAGGUUGGCUAAUCCUGGUCGGACAUCAGGAGGUUAGUGCAAUGGCAUAAGCCAGCUUGACUGCGAGCGUGACGGCGCGAGCAGGUGCGAAAGCAGGUCAUAGUGAUCCGGUGGUUCUGAAUGGAAGGGCCAUCGCUCAACGGAUAAAAGGUACUCCGGGGAUAACAGGCUGAUACCGCCCAAGAGUUCAUAUCGACGGCGGUGUUUGGCACCUCGAUGUCGGCUCAUCACAUCCUGGGGCUGAAGUAGGUCCCAAGGGUAUGGCUGUUCGCCAUUUAAAGUGGUACGCGAGCUGGGUUUAGAACGUCGUGAGACAGUUCGGUCCCUAUCUGCCGUGGGCGCUGGAGAACUGAGGGGGGCUGCUCCUAGUACGAGAGGACCGGAGUGGACGCAUCACUGGUGUUCGGGUUGUCAUGCCAAUGGCACUGCCCGGUAGCUAAAUGCGGAAGAGAUAAGUGCUGAAAGCAUCUAAGCACGAAACUUGCCCCGAGAUGAGUUCUCCCUGAGACUUAGAGUCUCCUGAAGGAACGUUGAAGACGACGACGUUGAUAGGCCGGGUGUGUAAGCGCAGCGAUGCGUUGAGCUAACCGGUACUAAUGAACCGUGAGGCUUAACCUUA
rnacentral:rRNA from 1 species